UACGGAGGGGCGAGCGUUGUCCGAAGUUACUGGGCGUAAAGCGCGCGUAGGCGGGUGGGUAAGUCCGCUGUGAAAGCCCGGAGCUUAACUCCGGAGGGUCGGUGGAUACUGCCCAUCUUGAAGGUGCUAGGGGGAGAUGGAAUUACCGGUGUAGCGGUGAAAUGCGUAGAGAUCGGUAGGAACACCAGUGGCGAAAGCGGCUCACUGGACCACAACUGACGCUGAGGCACGAAAGCUAGGGGAGCAAACAGG
rnacentral:rRNA from 1 species